CAGCCCUAAACGAUGCGCGUUAGGUGUAUCGGUGACCACGAGUCACCGAGGUGCCGAAGGGAAACCGUGAAACGUGCCGCCUGGGAAGUACGGUCGCAAGGCUGAAACUUAAAGGAAUUGGCGGGGGAGCACCACAACGGGUGGAGCUUGCGGUUUAAUUGGAUUCAACGCCGGAAAUCUUACCGGGACCGACAGCAACAUGAAGGCCAGGCUGAAGACUUUGCCGGAUUAGCUGAGAGGAGGUGCAUGGCGUAGUCGUGU
rnacentral:rRNA from 1 species